UACGAAGGGGGCUAGCGUUGCUCGGAAUCACUGGGCGUAAAGGGUGCGUAGGCGGGUUUUUAAGUCAGGGGUGAAAUCCUGGAGCUCAACUCCAGAACUGCCUUUGAUACUGAAAAUCUUGAGUUCGGGAGAGGUGAGUGGAACUGCGAGUGUAGAGGUGAAAUUCGUAGAUAUUCGCAAGAACACCAGUGGCGAAGGCGGCUCACUGGCCCGGUACUGACGCUGAGGUGCGAAAGCGUGGGGAGCAAACAGG
rnacentral:rRNA from 1 species